ensembl:lncRNA
UUAAAUAUUGAUAUUAUCUGGGUGAAUAUAUAAACAAAGACAACUUAUCCUUUUCUCUGACAGGGUCUGGAAAUAUCAAUAAGUUUACUGGGGAUCUUUUUACCAUUGUGGGGUGGCUUGUUUUAUCUUGUCUUGUGCUUUCAAAGAGUGGCUAGCCAGCAAGACGACGUUUGGUUUUAUGACAGAAACCGACCUAGUGUGAUUGUGCCUGACUCUGCUACACUGCCAACAGUUUACAGUUCAGUCUGAUGUGUACUGCCAUCAGAACAACACGGCCCAGCCAGACUGACCUAUUUUGAGGAGCUUGAAGAAAUUAGGACCUGAGGAUUAAAGGACCAAAGAUGAAAAAGAUGUUAGCCAAAAGAUGAAGGUUACAUAAUACUUCAUUCUGCCAUUAAGUUCUGAAUGGCACAGCAGUGUUAGCUCAAGGAUCAGCUCUUGGUGGCAUUGAACAGUCAUCCAGUUUCCAGCUCAGAUCUUUAACCACUGGACUACAGCACAUUUGACAGAUGCUUUUUAUCCAGAGCUUUUACACGAUUAUAUAGCUAUGGUUUUGGGUGUUUUUCGCAGAGUCUCAGUGAUAUUACAGCAACUGCAUGAUUUCUGUUACAGCCUGGCUCCUCU